rfam:TPA: Bos taurus chromosome 7, whole genome shotgun sequence.
UCCCUGGUGGCUCAGAUGGUAAAGCGUAUGCCUGCAAUGCGGGAGACCCAGGUUCAAUCCCUGGGUUGGGAA